GUGAAGAUCUAUUACGAUUUGGAUUCUCUAGAAAACUUCCUCGGGAUUAUUUUGUUGAAGUUCCGAACGAUGAGUUAAUUUACGCAGCAAACGUCGUAGACGAAAUCACAAAAUACUUUAAACAUUAUUUAACCGAAUAUAGUAUGGUGGAUAUUUGGAAAAUUUGAUCGCUUAGAAUUGUGCUCCGGCGAUUCCUUAUAAUAAUGUUUGAAUAAUGAAGAAUGUGUUGUCCCAGGUGAUGAUAUUGGCAUCAUAAUAGAUCUUACAAUGGACGAUGACGUAAUUACCAUUAUGAUGGACUAAUUUUGUGUUUUACACAUUACAAUACUUUACAAUAAACCCAAUUAUUUCUGCCGACACAUAAAUUGUCACUAUAAGAUAAUAUAUAGUACCUUAUUUAUAUAUAUAACUGCAGUGUGAUAUAUCCCUGGCAAGUUCAAUAAAUUAUAAAUGUACACAUAUAUAGAAAGUAAAAAUUCAAUAAAUAUACCUAGAUUAAGUUUAAGCCGCCAAUUUGCUGUUAAUUAAACUAUUUAUUUUUUCCUUCACAAAAUGCCCUUGCAUCAAUCUAAUUUUUUCAUUUUUACAAUAUAUAUUCUAUAAAUUAUAAUAUUUUUUACAAAUGUAUAUACUAUAUUUUAACGUUAUAAACACAAAUCUUUACUUUAUUUUUUUUAUUAUCUAAUAUAACUUAGUCGGCUUAGUCUACUAUAAAUCAAAAGCAUAUAGAACAAUAUGCCAUUCUGACAACUUCC